rnacentral:rRNA from 1 species
UACGAAGGGGGCUAGCGUUGUUCGGAAUCACUGGGCGUAAAGCGCACGUAGGCGGAUUUGUUAGUCAGGGGUGAAAUCCCGGGGCUCAACCUCGGAACUGCCUUUGAUACUGCAAAUCUCGAGUCCGAUCGAGGUGAGUGGAAUUCCUAGUGUAGAGGUGAAAUUCGUAGAUAUUAGGAAGAACACCAGUGGCGAAGGCGGCUCACUAGAUCGGUACUGACGCUGAGGUGCGAAAGCGUGGGGAGCAAACAGG